GAACACCUUAGCUCAGUGGUCAGAGCUUCCAUCUUGAAUGUUGAGCUUGCAGGUUUAAUUCCUGCAGUGAACA
rnacentral:tRNA from 1 species